rnacentral:rRNA from 1 species
GACGAACGCUGGCGGCGUGCCUAAUACGUGCAAGUAGGACGCAGUUGCGAACGGGUGAGUAACGCGUAGGUAACUGCCUAUUAGAGGGGGAUAACUAUUGGAAACGAUAGCUAAUACCGCAUACUAGUAGAUGGACCUGCGUUGUAUUAGCUAGUAGGUAGGGUAAUGGCCUACCUAGGCGACGCUACAUAGCCGGGCUGGGAGGGUGAUCGGCCACACUGGAACUGAGACACGGCCCAGACUCCUACGGGAGGCAGCAGUAGGGAAUCUUCGGCAAUGGGGGGAACCCUGACAAAGCAACGCCGCGUGAGUGAAGAAGGUUUUCGGAUCGGAAAGCUCUUUUGUUAAGGAAGCGGUACUUAACCAGAAAGGGACGGCUAACUACGUGCCAGCAGCCGCGGUAAUUC